rnacentral:rRNA from 1 species
GACGAACGCUGGCGGCGUGCUUCAUACAUGCAAGUCGAGCGGGGUCCAUCCAGUGGCAACACUGGUGAAGACCUAGCGGCGAACGGGUGAGUAACACGUGAGGAACCUGCCCCAGAGACCGGGAUAACCCUCCGAAAGGAGAGCUAAUACCGGAUGCCCCCACCGGAUCGCAUGGUCUGGUGAGGAAAUGGAUUCCGCUCUGGGAGGGCCUCGCGGCCUAUCAGCUUGUUGGUGAGGUAACGGCUCACCAAGGCGUCGACGGGUAGCUGGUCUGAGAGGACGGUCAGCCACACUGGGACUGAGACACGGCCCAGACUCCUACGGGAGGCAGCAGUAGGGAAUCUUGCGCAAUGGGCGAAAGCCUGACGCAGCAACGCCGCGUGGGGGAUGAAGGCUCUCGGGUUGUAAACCCCUUUCAGCAGGGACGAUUAUGACGGUACCUGCAGAAGAAGGACCGGCCAACUACGUGCCAGCAGCCGCAGUAA